AUUAAAUUGUAAUUAUUUGCCAUGCACUGACGUAGGGGCUAUGCAUGUAUUAUCUCAUUUAAUCCUCACAAGAACUGAAGAGGUGCAUUGGAUUGGCACAGUAUUACAGAUGAGGAAACUGACCAGGUACUAUGCUGGUCACUUUUUCAUAUAAAAAACUCACAUCAAAUUCCAGUCAAGAAGCUUCAAGACUGUAAACUAAGCAGCAGCUGUGAGUGUCCUUUUCACAGCUGAUACAUUGUUCAUCUUCCCACCCCACCUCCAAUGGAAUGUGCUGAGAGGUAAGAGUUCCAUUGUGCCUUACUGGAGACAUUUCAUAUACCCACAUAGCCAGCUAUGUUUUCCUGUAAAGCUGUGGCCAGCUUGGUAAUGCACACACUUGAAUUUGUUUCCUCCUGUGCUUUUUC